rnacentral:lncRNA from 1 species
GGAACGCCCCCGUUUGGACGCGGAUAUGCAACCUGGUUUUGUUGUUGUUGUUUGUUUGUUGUUGUUUUUGGUUUUUUAGGAGGUGGGUUAUUCCGAAGGAAUUUGGCCCCAGGUUAUCGGAGCAGAGGGAUAAUUGCGGGUUUUAGGAUCCAGACGUGGUACGGGUGAAAAUGCUUCGUGCUUGCUUGAAGUUAAACCCGGCGGGGGAACGAUUGUUCCCACUGAACGUUCCCACAGGAGAACCCUUGGAGACACUACCUUUCCCACAGAAUUUCAUUCAAGGAGCUCAAAGGCCAGGAAAUCUUUUGAAAAGGUACCAUCUACCUGGAGGGCAUCAUCCUGAGUGAGAGGACAAGCAAAAAGAGGAAUGGAAG